AGAAGAAGCAGUGAGGUCUUUUUUUGUUCCCAUCCCAAAGUUUGGUGUUGCAGCGUUUUAAGUUAUGCUGAGCCUCACAAAGCUGCUCGACAGUCUUCAGCGCUCCACGGUCGAGACGCGAGCGGGCGGGGAUGACACGUCGUGGUGCCCGCCACCGUGCCUAACCCCUUGACCUUGGACGGCCCGUUUCCAUGGAGACGGACGUUGGCAGGGCCAACAGGGAGCGAGAACGGAGUUGAACCUCAGCGUCGUGCUGGAUGGAUGUUGUCAUGACUCAGCUGCGGCCCAACCUCGGCUGUCAGAUGAAAGGUCAUGCGUGCAAACAACUUGAGGCGACGACAAAAUUGCUGGAAUGGAAACACAUCUGCGACGGACGACGCCACGUUAUCGACCACCGCCUGCCGUGAUGCUUAGCAGGGGAACGCAGGAGUUCAACCUCGCCCGGAGAAUCUCUCGGACAUACCCGCGGUGAGAGAGCCACGAUGCGGCCGCCGCCUCCCCGGUUCUUCUUCUUCUUCCCCUGUCACUGCGGAGCUCAAUCUCGUCCCAGUCCUCCACGACGUGGCUUGUACGUGUAGACUUCAGAGCAAGACGGUGAUCUUGGAGGUGAUGAUGGCGAGAUGGUGGUGUCUCGUCGCGUCUUCCCUUGUUGUCCAGCUGAGACUGACGCCUGUGCUCGCUGGUGCUUCGCCUCAGUGCUUUGGCCUGAUUGGGCGGGGUUGUGAUUAGGGGCGGGGCUGAUAUAAUUCGGGGAGCCAAUCAGGUGGAAGCGGCAGGGAGGGACGUUGGCAUGCAAAAAACAAAACGUGCGGUAGUCAAAUAAACGCACAACCCAUUCACCGUUAUUUGCCUACAAUCUCCGUACAUUGAACAAGUCAGUAUGUUCAUGUGGAUGUGUUCCUUGGAACUGAUGAGAUCAUGUAAUAUGGGAAGAACCUGUUGGAAAAAUCCCCAUAUAAUGCGUGUUUAUCUAUGAAAAUAGGGCUCAGUAGACUUUUUGUAGACAGUUUAUGCGUGCAUUAUAGUUAAAGGCAGUUAAACCUCGAAAGCCAGAAUUUCUAAUUCGUAUUUCUGUUCAUAAUUUGGGCCAUUUACUGUAUUUUGUUGUUGUUGACUAUUUGGGACGCAGUUGUAGUGUGACGUAAACGGUCAUUUAAUAGGCACCUAAUUGAAAUUAUUUUAAUUCGCUCGCCAAGGGAGUGAAUCUAGAUCCAUUUUUGUAAUGUUAAAAAUAUAUGCAUCGGCUCCAAAAAAGUCACUUAGGUUUCAACGUUAGACAAAGAAAAGCAGAAAUAUGGGACAACAGUGACACCCAGUGGACAAUGUGAUUCACUUCAUAGCAUCAAAUAUAAAAAGUCAGUAAAAUCAAUAUGCACCGAGAAAACAUUUAUAGGUUUCUCUACAUGUACUUGUCGGAAAUGACGGGAGAACGACAAAAUAUCAGUUAAGACUGAUAGGGGGGAAAAAAAAGAGAGCGUCCUAUUUAAAUAUAACAUCCUCUUUUACGAGGUUACUUGAAGUAACACUGCGUGAACUGGCGUGCCUACGGUAAACGAGAAAGCUCUAUUCAAGUAGAACCAAGCGCGUUCUUGCCAAGUUUCCUUCAGUUGCUUGUCACUGACGCAGCAGAUAUUGAGUUUUAAACUUUAUUAUUUAUCACAAUUUUGCCCACAUUUACAAAUGCAAUGGGCUGUUAUUAGGUGUGGCCAGUUAUGGUGAUUUCACAUUUGUCCAGGAGGCACGUCACAAACAAAAGAGUCAAUCAGGAGGUGGGGGUGAGGGGGGUUGCUUUUUCAGGUUCAGUUAAGUUAUGACUAUGAUUUCUCCCUAAUGAAACACACACACAC